GUCGAGCGAACGGACGAGAAGCUUGCUUCUCUGAUGUUAGCGGCGGACGGGUGAGUAACACGUGGAUAACCUACCUAUAAGACUGGGAUAACUUCGGGAAACCGGAGCUAAUACCGGAUAAUAUUUUGAACCGCAUGGUUCAAAAGUGAAAGACGGUCUUGCUGUCACUUAUAGAUGGAUCCGCGCUGCAUUAGCUAGUUGGUAAGGUAACGGCUUACCAAGGCAACGAUGCAUAGCCGACCUGAGAGGGUGAUCGGCCACACUGGGACUGAGACACGGUCCAGACUCCUACGGGAGGCAGCAGUAGGGAAUCUUCCGCAAUGGGCGAAAGCCUGACGGAGCAACGCCGCGUGAGUGAUGAAGGUCUUCGGAUCGUAAAACUCUGUUAUUAGGGAAGAACAUAUGUGUAAGUAACUGUGCACAUCUUGACGGUACCUAAUCAGAAAGCCACGGCUAACUACGUGCCAGCAGCCGCGGUAAUACGUAGGUGGCAAGCGUUAUCCGGAAUUAUUGGGCGUAAAGCGCGCGUAGGCGGUUUUUUAAGUCUGAUGUGAAAGCCCACGGCUCAACCGUG
rnacentral:rRNA from 1 species